rnacentral:rRNA from 1 species
GCCGCGUGAGUGAUGAAGUUUUCGGAUCGUAAAGCUCUGUGUUAGGGAAGAACAAGUGCCGUUCGAAUAGGUCGGCACCUUGACGGUACCUAACCAGAAAGCCACGGCUAACUACGUGCCAGCAGCCGCGGUAAUACGUAGGUGGCAAGCGUUGUCCGGAAUUAUUGGGCGUAAAGCGCGCGCAGGCGGUACUUUUAAGUCUGAUGUGAAAGCCCACGGCUCAACCGUGGAGGGUCAUUGGAAACUGGGAGACUUGAGUACAGAAGAGGAGAGUGGAAUUCCACGUGUAGCGGUGAAAUGCGUAGAUAUGUGGAGGAACACCAGUGGCGAAGGCGACUCUCUGGUCUGUAACUGACGCUGAGGCGCGAAAGCGUGGGGAGCAAACAGGAUUAGAUACCCUGGUAGUCCACGCCGUAAACGAAGAGUGCUAGGUGUUAGGGGUUUCGAUGCCCUUAGUGCCGAAGUUAACACAUUAAGCACUCCGCCUGGGGAGUACGACCGCAAGGUUG